CAGAGUAAAUGAUUCACAGCUAAACAGCUUGCUAUGCCAAGAGCUAGGGACCAGCCAUUCAUUAUGCUCUCAACAGUAAGCCUCAAGGUGACUGCACCUUAGUACUGAAGGCAAAACCUCUCAGAAUGCACACACAGUUACGAUGGCAAUACUCUGCGGCACUGGAGGUUAGCAAGUAUUCUAGAGGAAGCUCCGGAAUGUCCAGCUCCCUCACACCUAACAGGACUUCAUGAAAAGAGAAAUUGAAUAAGCAAGAUGGAAUCCAGGACCUUGUGCAUAGCUGGGCAAGAACACAAAAUGUCAUUUUUAGAAACCGGAAGUGAGUGUGGUCACAUACGAUGACAGGAUCCAGUGAACUUUGUGAAGUCU
rnacentral:lncRNA from 1 species